CUAUGCUUUAACCUAAUAUUGGGUUGCCUACAUUCUUUAAUUUCAGUGCAUUCAUCUAAUCUGAAUGACUGAUUCUGAGCUGGGUACUAUGUUGUUUACGUUUCCAGAAGUUUACUCGAUGAUUGAUUUAUGAAGUGCAGUAUGUUUAGAUGUUGACGUGCAUUUUGGGGAUGGAUCUUGGUAGCUGCACACACUACCUCAUCACCAUGUUGAUAGCUCAACCGGUGUUAUAAAUGGUGGUUUUGGUGGUCUGUCGUUUGCUUGGUUUAUGUCGUGGUACGACGCUGGUAGCGUCGUGAAGGUUUCUAUAUAUAUAUAUGCCGGUUAUGUCAUAUACUGUCUGCCUGUGAUCUCUUUUGGUCAGUUAUACCGUCCUAUAGAGGAAAUGUCGUCAAAAUUUUCUGUUUUCAUAUAAUUAGGCUUAGUGGUAAAGUAGGGUGUUACACCUCUGCUCCCUGCUCUCGAAACAGCACCAUCGACGUUGAUUUUGUCUGAGACCGUGAGGUGAUUCGAUCCAUUUUACAGAUUUCCUAGCCGGCUUCAGCGGUUUGCCAUUAGUUUGCUUCACAUUGGCCACUUCUAGGUCCUAGAGGAACUUGUUAAUGAAACUACCGAGGGCCUGUUUGGAAGAGGGGAACUCUCUAGAAAAAUAAUCCUAUGAGAUCUAAUCUCAUAUAUUUUUUUGUGUAGACCUCAUUCAUGUCGUUACCUAGAAUCUAGAAAUUUGUUGUAGUCCUUUGCUUGAAUCCUACAAAAGCAAUCUCCUCUGUAACAAACAUGCUGCCGUUCGGAUCUUGUGCAUGGUCCGGCAACAGCACUAUACAAAGACCAGGCCACCCAAUGUUUGAGGUGCACCGAUCCAAUCUUUCCUGAGUAGUUUUACAUGGUAUCAUAAGUCAUAGUUCUCAAUAGAUAACAACCAACAACACCUAUGAUAGUUCCGAUGCUAAGUCCACCAACUCCGCCGCCCACAAAUCCAUCUCUGUCGGCUCCUCUAUGUCGACCAAUCCACCUUCCCCUGCUUUCAACCACUUGAUUAAUGUCAAGUUGAAUGUCUCCAACUUCCUUCUGUGGAAGAGGCAGAUAAUGUCAAGUUGGUCAGUUUCAUUGAUGGAUCUGCACGCGCGUCAGCAAACAUGGUCACCCAGACUGUCGCUGAAGGAGAGGCAAUCCAAGAACCGAAUCCCGAAUACUAGGUGUGGCUGCACCGGGACUAGAUGGUUCUUAGUGUGCUCCUCUCCUCCCUCUCCGAAGUUCUCUCUCAGAUCAUUGCAAUACUUUAAAGUCGAAAAGUCAUUUUUUAUUUUUUUUAAUUAUGAAAAGUAUAAUACCUUAUACAAUAUUUAAAAUAUAAAUAAAUAAUGUUUAGGUGACUUUGGGGGCCAGCCAACCCCUUUUCACACUUGGAUCUAACUUGGGUCCAAGCUGCCACCCCACUUUGAAUCUAAGACCCAAACUGACCUCUUGUCUUCUAGAGUUAGCUUUCUCUCCCUCCCACCCCCACUUGUCUGCCACCUUGCUGCAGUAAUCGCGUGUUACAGUGCUCUGAUGCUACAGUGCCAAAUGGGAAGAGAGUAGGAGAGAGAGGGGGGAGAAGAGGAAGAGAAGGAAGAAAAGAAGAAGGGGAAAUAGAGAAAACAGAGAUGGUAGAGGGAGGAGGACUCGUUUCAAUUCCGUUUUUUUAUGUCCUAGGUAUUGAAUCCUUGUUUUCCCUUUAUUUUGCUGUGUUAUAGGGCUUAAUUGUUUAUGUGGUGGUCGAUUAGUGGUAAGGUUUCGUCAGGGACCGUUAAAUUGACCAUUUCUGCCCAUUCUGUUUAAUGCAGUUCAUGCAGUUCGUCUACGACUUAGAUUUUUGUCCUGUUAAAGGCCAAGUUAAUUUUUAGUUCGGUUGACAAAGUAGUAGAGAAUUUGAAAACCUUUCCACAAAGUCCUAUUUCAUAAUUUUUGACCAGGUAGUAUAGGAGAUAUGAAUUUUUUAUUUUGGUUGUUCGAUUCUGAUGAGGUUUUAGACGGUAAUAAAUCUAUUCAGUUUUGGACCACCUUAGGUGCCAAAUUGUUUUUCCUAUAAAUACCAAAGUUGUAGUACUUUUUAUAAGUUUUACAGAUUGGUAAAGUAUGUAACUUUUGUAUAGAAUUCCUGUUAUAGUUCUCUGAAUUUUGUGCUGUCAUUUGUUGAUAGAUUACGCUGAUGAAUCUCUAGAGUUUAGUUAGAGCUUGAUAAUGAUAUUUUCUGAAGAUCCAAUAUAUAAAAAAGUUGUUGAGGAUGAAAAUUUAUAUGUCAUAUUGAAUUUUGAGAUAGUUUUUGAAGUUUGAUUAUAGUUGCCAUUUAGGUCACUUAAUGGCACAAUAAAAAUAUGUUUUCUCUACAAAAAGUGUAGGUAUUGUUAUGUAGAUUUCGAGAAUGUAAUUAUUUGCCACUAUAUCUGCAGUAUAAAAAUAGAGACGAAAAAGAGAAGCAUUGCUGGUCUUAUCAAACGAAUGCGAGGUGGUGGUACUCUGAAUCGCACUUGAGGCUUGUUGUGCUCGUCGUCCGUAAAGGCAAGUGAACGUAAUUGUUAUGUUGCUACAAUUUUAACCUGUUAUUUUUACUAUCUGCAUCUUUAAAGUGCAGCACAUGUGAUUAUAUUUAAUAAUUUGAGGUAUUGAUUAUAUUUAAUAAUUUGAGGUAUUGUGCAUGAUGUGCUAUUUAUGUUAGAAGGUUUGGAUAAGAAGGUGGUAAUGUGGCUAUGUUGUUAGUAUAUUGCUUCAUGCUUGUAUGAUAAUACUUUUUUAUGAUGGCUUUAGAAAUUCAGAAUGUGGUUGUUGAUAUAUUGUUUAUGCGUGAUGCUUCCUUAUGUUGCCCAUCUGUGACAUGACUUACUUUAAUUAUAAUAAUAAAGAUUAUUUUUUUCCUUAAGGGGUUCAUUGGCGAUGAAGCUUAGUGUAGUGGUUGUGUUGAUUUUGGUGGUUUUAGAAUCUUUUAGGACAUUCACACAUUUUAUCUUUCAAUGGCUAGAAUACAUGAGGAUAAUGAUGCGAGUUAUGUAGAAGUUUACAGAAGAGAUCAUACUAUGACCUUUGAUGAGGGUAGCGAAGUAAGUUGGAAAACCAUAUUAAAUGGAAGAUAAAAUGGACAUGUUGUCUCACUCAUAUCUAAAUGAAGAUUGUAUCUAAAUCUUUACAGCAAGAAGGUAGGGAUUUAAGUGAAGUUCAUAACUUGAGCUAUUUUAUAUAGUCAUAAGUAGUUGAUAAUACAAUAUUAAUAUUUUAUACAUUAUGUAAAAGAUAAAACUGGUGAAUCAGAAGUUGGCAUAUGUGAAAUACUUAUCAUGUCUAUGUUUUGCAUAGAAAUAUUUUUAUAUGAGAUCUUACAGUGGAGUAGUCUAUUCGAUAAUUUGAAGUAUGUUAUACAUAUUGAUAAUCAUAACUUAUGUCAUUUACCUUUAAGUAUGCCUUAGAUGUGGAUAGGUGGACGAUGUUGAAAUAUAUGGUUCUCUUUCUUACGAUUGCAAUAUAUCAUCUGCAUUGCAUUUCAUUGCUUUGCAUUUGAGCCAGGUCGGUGAGAAAGUCAUAUAACUAUUCUGGAGUGCAUAAGCCAGGUCGAUGAGAAAGUUAUAUGACUAUUCCAGAGUGCUCUUGAAGUUAUGUCAUGAUCUUAUAGCUGCGACUAUACCGAUAUAGCAUCGUAUAUUGUUGUAAUAUGAUGCAACUUCAUACCUUGUUGGGUACGAAGGCAGUGGACAUAUGCAUUGCACUACAUAUAUAUGCAUUUUAUUUACAAUCAUUGAAGAUUAUUCAUGUGGAAGAGUUAUAUAUCAAAUUACUAUGGAAGUAAUUGUUGGAUACGUUGCUGAUGCUUUAAAAGUUAUUAUGAGAAGCGAUGCUUCUCAGUGAUGAUAUGCAUUGCUGUAUGGAUUUUGGAAUCAUGAAGAUUUUAUAUAUGGUUUUGCAUUUGCAUUCAUAUGCACUACAGAAGUUAUUUUAUUUUAUUAUGCUUAUGUUCAAUCGUGUGCAACACCUACACUUACGAUUCUUCUAGGGUUAUAUAAGUUGGUGGUUUGUUGUGUUGUUAUCUAUUAUUCCUUAUGAAUUAUAGGCUAUUCGAGUUGAGGAGUUCUUUUACAAACCUAUGAUGUCAUAAUUUUGCUAUGAUCACAUAAUACUUAACAUGAAGAAGUGGAGCUUUAAAACUGUUGUAGAAUGAAGAUGCUAUAAAUAUUGUUAUCAUGAUGCUCUUCUGAAUACUUGUUAUAAUAUUAAAUUAUUAUUUAAUCUAUUGUGGUUUAAAUAGCUUGUUAAAGUAGUUCACUUGCUGAGAUUUUUUUCAAUCUCACCCUUGCAAUUUCUCCCCCAAGGUGUUCUUGAAGCUAGCAUGGAGGGAAGGGAUUAGAAGCACAUCUUGCACUUCAUGUAUGCACUUAAUAUCAUUGAGUUGUAAUAAUAAAUUAUCGUUAGUCGUUAGAGUCGUGUGUUCAAAUUUAUUGUGUUGUUGUGAUGUUGAAUUCAAUAUUUUACUCUUGGCCCUUGUUAGGAUAAUUUUAAAUGCUAGUGUGUUAUGACUUACAUGUUGUUUAUCUAUGUUGUUGCUCUCGUAUUACUUAAAAUAUAGAGGAGAUGCUGCUGAAUUUAUAGAGGAGAUGCUACUGAAUUUAUAGAGGAGAUGCUACUGAAUUUUCUGUAAGUUCAGCUAUAUGUCGUGUAGUUAAGUGGCAUUCUAGGUCUUGUGGCCCCUGGGGUGUUACAGUCAUGUUCUUCAUGUCAACAUUUGAAGUGUGGAUGACCUUGGUGCAAAUGUAUUCUACACGCUCCAAUGCCUGAGUCAUGUAGAUCUGGGUUCAGAUGGCAACCCUUCGCAAUGAGAUGUCAAUGGCGACAUACUACAACAAGAUGAAGAUGUGCACCGACACCCUCACUUCUAUUGGACAUCCAAUGCAGGAGGAAGAAAUCAUCACAUACAUGCUUAUCGGGCUCAAUGAUGACUACGAAUCUCUGGUGAUGUCGGUGACUACAAGACCAGAGCCCAUCUCCCUCACCGACUUUUACGCACACCUCGUCAGCUUUGAGUUGCAAGGUGCGCAACAAUUAUGUGCUCCAGACGGGUGAUCCUUUGGCAAACUUCACGGCAUGUCAAGGUGAUGGUCGUGGCACCAGCAACAAGCCAAUCCGUGGCUGUGGUCACGGCUGUGGGAACCAGUAGUGAAGUGGCCAUAAUGACAACACUGACAAUACAAGGGACAAGAAGGACAUCUACUAGUUAUGUGAAAAUGCUAGCCAUGUCGUCGCCAAAUGCUGGCAUCGCUUCAACCACACCAACUAAAGGGAUGAUCCACACGCACAAGCCAUGGCAGCAUCAACAUACCACUCCUAUGGUGUAGACCCGAAUUGGUACACAGAUAUCGGGGUUGCUGAUCACAUCAUCGGCAAGUUUGAUAAGCUGACGUUCCACGGAUGCUACACUAGCAAGGAGCAAGUGCACACUACAAAAUGGAUCAGGUUUGUCCAUCUCUCAUGGAGGUCAUGCCGUUCUUACAUCUGCUACAAAGAAUUUAAACCUUGCAAAUAUUCUUCAUGUCCCUAGAGUCACUAAAAACCUUGUCUCUGUUUAUCGCCUAGCAUCUGAUAACAAUGUGUUUCUUGAAUUCCAUCCAAACUUAUUUCUUGUGAAGGAUCUUUUAACAAAGAGAGUCCUUCUUCAAGGCCAAUGUGAGAGGGGGCUCUAUCCAAUUAUGUCACCACCAAAAAAAGUUUUUUUUUUCAAAUGUCAAGCUAUCUUAUGAGGAUUGGCACUGUCGCCUUGGUUAUCCUUCAUCGUCAGUAGUUCAACUUGUCUUGAACUCCAAUAAUUUAUGAUGUCAUGCUAGCUAAUUAAAAAAAUCAACUUGUAAUGCCUGUCAACAAUGCAAGAGUCACCAGUUACCUUUCCCAAAAUCAUUAAGUGUUUCUUCUACACCUCUGAAACUUGUUUUUUUAGAUGUAUGAGGUGUUGCUUAUAGAUUGAAAUACCCCGGCCCAUUAGUGUUUCUGGUUUAGGCCUGUGUGGCCCAACUAUACUGGUGUGGUGGGUUUAAUACCACCUUGGUAAUUUAGAUAGGUUGAGGUCAUCUUAUAAGCCUUCGUGCUCCAAACAUAGCAUCUUCGGGUUAACUCUUUUACAUGAAGCGAUGACGAAAGUUACGAGGUACUAUGCGUAUGCGGGGCCACCCCACAAGUGGGCUGGGCUGUAAGCGAAUUUUGGAGGUGACGUGUUACAUAGAUCCUCAUGAGGUUAUAAAUACUAUGUGUGUUUUAUAGAUGAUUUCAGCAAAUUUACAUGGGCUUAUCUCUAAAUCUGGUGUGUUCCAUGUAUUUGUGCAAUUCCAAAAGCAUGUGGGAAGGUUGCUAGAUAGAAAGAUCUUGUGCAUACAAGUUGAUUGGGGUUGCAAGUACCAAAAGCUCAAUCCAUUCUUUAAACAAGUAGGAAUAGAGCAUCAUGUGUCAUGUCCUCAUACUCACUAGCAGAAUGGCUAUGCAGAAAGGAAACAUAGACACAUUGUUAAGAUGGGGCUUACCUUGCUCUCUCUAGCAUCAAUGCCCUUGAGAUUUGGGGAUGUGGAUUUUCUGAUGGCUUGUUAU